rnacentral:rRNA from 1 species
CCCAGUGACUUAGUUCAACGGCCGCGGUAUCCUAACCGUGCGAAGGUAGCGUAAUCACUUGUUCUUUAAAUGAGGACUAGUAUGAAUGGCACCACGAAGGUUAAACUGUCUCCUCUUUCUAAUCAAUGAAACUAAUCUCCCCGUGAAGAAGCGGGGAUAAACACAUAAGACGAGAAGACCCUAUGGAGCUUUAAACUAUUAGCACUAGCCCUACAUUAAUACACUUCAGAAGAAUAAAAAUUACCCCGGCUUUUAUGACUAUAAGUUUUAGGUUGGGGUGACCGCGGAGCAUAAACCAACCUCCACAUUGAAUGAUAUUCCCUGAGCAAAAAGCUACAACUUUAAGCACCAAUAAAUUGACAUUAAUUGACCCAAUAUUUUGAUCAACGAACCAAGUUACCCUAGGGAUAACAGCGCAAUCCAUUUCAAGAGCCCCUAUCGACAAAUGGGUUUACGACCUCGAUGUUGGAUCAGGGUGUCCCAGUGGUGCAGCCGCUACUAAAGGUUCGUUUGUUCAACGAUUAAAACCCUACGUGAUCUGAGUUUCAGA